rnacentral:lncRNA from 1 species
GGUAAUGAGCUUAUUUUCUGAGAAAAGUGGCAACUAGUUCUAUAUAACCAGACCUUGACAUGGAAACUGAAAUUUCAUCAGAAUAGUUUUCUCAGUAGCUGGUUACAUAUUUAUGGAAUACUGAGCAUUAAUGCUGCAUAAGUUAUAUUUAAAUCUAUAAAACUGGCAUUCAAUAUUAAUAACAUAUCACAUUUUUAUGUCUAAUCUAUUUUGUGAAAAAACUGUAAAACUUUUUUUCAAGUUCAUUACAAACUUAGAUUACCAUUUAGUGGCUUCUCUAUCUUGAAAUGAUAUCUUGAAAUGAAAGGGAAUCAAAUACUGUACUUGGGAAAAUUUGUCAAAACAGUAAAUCUGGAUCAUCAUAUGAUAUUACUACUUAGUAGGUUUUUUAGCACAACUUAUAAAGUCAGUUUUCAAUGUUUAUUCUUAUUAAUAUUUAUACACUGGAAUAAGAGCAUUAAUAUUAACAUAUGGAUGAAGAUAUUUUAACGGAUCCUAGGAUCUGAUAGAGAUACUUCACAUAUGAAUUCUGGAAAACGCUAAACUUUUCUUCCUACAUGGAAAACACUUAUUUUUCAAAACCUAAAAUCUCCAUGAUGACUCUUUAACAACUCA